GCGAGUUGCAUUUUCCUUUCGCUCAGCUGCAGGCUAAAGCGACCUUUCAAUGCUUCCGAUCGCAUCUCUUGUGGAGGAGACGGGAGGUUGGGCAGCUGGAAACGCGAGUAUCCAUUUAGCGUUCUGCAACCUUCCUGCUCGGAUUAUGUUCUUUUGCAAUCCUAGGGAAGGAAGUCAGUGUGACAAUACAAUUCCAUGUCUCUUGCACAGCACAGAUCCCGGGGUCCAGAGGGGCAGGGGAGAGCCUCUGAUCUUACAUGUCCUUUGUUGACCCCCCCUAAACAGGAAUCGCAUGGCAAAUUGAGCACGGGGGAGAGGGCCCAACACCGUGUAGGACCUGAUCAAGACCUCUGAUGAAGCUCCUUCUGCCCCUCAGCUGCUUUAAUUUCCCGUGUGUUUGGAUAUUGUUUCACCCAGCAAAGAAGGCCACUGGUAUUGUUCUGUUAAAUGGGAUGGAGAAAAACCGGUGGCCCUCCCUACGUUGAACUGUAACUCUCGGAUAUUGUUUCACCCAGCAAAGAGACCACUGGUACUGUUCUGUUAAAUGGGAUGGAGAAAAACCGGUGGCCCUCCCUACGUUGAACUGUAACUCUCGUUGUAGUUGACCCUUGGCCAUGCGGCUUGGCCCCUGAUGGGAGUUAUUGUAGUUGACCCUUGGCCAUGCGGCUUGGCCCCUGAUGGGAGUUAAGAGCCCUCCUGACACCCUGAGGUGGAAACCGAAGCUCCUUUAUACCCCACGUUAGAGGCCACAGAAUGAAAAAAUAUAUAUAUUCAGAAGCCCAUUGACUACAAUUUGGCCAGAAAAGGGUUAUUUGGUCUUCUCUGCAUGCUUUGGACUACAGAUCCCAUAAUUCUGACCAUUGGCCGUGACAGUGGAGGUGGAUCACUAGCCGCAGCUGUCUGGAGGCUACCUGGGUGCUGAUGUCUAAACUUGGGGUUUCCGUGAGAAAGCAGGAGAAGAGGUAGAAUUGGUGAAACUUGGCCUUUUAGCCUUGGCUGGAUUAGAAACACUUUGAGAAGGCCAGAUUCAGCGUUUGGGCUCCCAGCUGCUGACUUGGAAUCCCAGACACCCCCCCCCCAAAAAAAACCUUGUGUUUUAUGGUGCAUACCUACAACUUCCAUCCUCUUUUUCAAAGAAAAAUCCUGUUGAUCUUUUGAGGGUGAGGGGGUUGAAAAAAUGCACAAAGUCUGUCGGUGCUUUUAUGUAUCUUGGUUUUUAAAGGGAUUUUUUGUUUUGUUUUAAUUUCCUAACAAACUGUGACGAGUGUAUGGAAACACUACCGUCCUUGUGUUUUUAAUAAAGAUUGAACUGGAAGAACGGUGCA
rnacentral:lncRNA from 1 species